GAAGUGAGUGGCGGACGGGUGAGUAACACGUGGGUAACCUGCCCAGAAGCAGGGGAUAACACCUGGAAACAGAUGCUAAUACCGUAUAACAGAGAAAACCGCCUGGUUUUCUUUUAAAAGAUGGCUCUGCUAUCACUUCUGGAUGGACCCGCGGCGCAUUAGCUAGUUGGUGAGGUAACGGCUCACCAAGGCGAUGAUGCGUAGCCGACCUGAGAGGGUAAUCGGCCACAUUGGGACUGAGACACGGCCCAGACUCCUACGGGAGGCAGCAGUAGGGAAUCUUCCACAAUGGACGCAAGUCUGAUGGAGCAACGCCGCGUGAGUGAAGAAGGGUUUCGGCUCGUAAAGCUCUGUUGUUAAAGAAGAACGUGGGUGAGAGUAACUGUUCACCCAGUGACGGUAUUUAACCAGAAAGCCACGGCUAACUACGUGCCAGCAGCCGCGGUAAUACGUAGGUGGCAAGCGUUAUCCGGAUUUAUUGGGCGUAAAGCGAGCGCAGGCGGUCUUUUAAGUCUAAUGUGAAAGCCUUCGGCUCAACCGAAGAAGUGCAUUGGAAACUGGGAGACUUGAGUGCAGAAGAGGACAGUGGAACUCCAUGUGUAGCGGUGAAAUGCGUAGAUAUAUGGAAGAACACCAGUGGCGAAGGCGGCUGUCUGGUCUGUAACUGACGCUGAGGCUCGAAAGCAUGGGUAGCGAACAGGAUUAGAUAC
rnacentral:rRNA from 1 species